rnacentral:rRNA from 1 species
CCUACGGGGGGCAGCAGUGGGGAAUAUUGCACAAUGGGGGAAACCCUGAUGCAGCCAUGCCGCGUGUGUGAAGAAGGCCUUCGGGUUGUAAAGCACUUUCAGCGGGGAGGAAGGCAGUGAGGUUAAUAACCUCAUCGAUUGACGUUACCCGCAGAAGAAGCACCGGCUAACUCCGUGCCAGCAGCCGCGGUAAUACGGAGGGUGCAAGCGUUAAUCGGAAUUACUGGGCGUAAAGCGCACGCAGGCGGUCUGUCAAGUCGGAUGUGAAAUCCCCGGGCUCUACCUGGGAACUGCAUUCGAAACUGGCAGGCUAGAGUCUUGUAGAGGGGGGUGGAAUUCCAGGUGUAGCGGUGAAAUGCGUAGAGAUCUGGAGGAAUACCGGUGGCGAAGGCGGCCCCCUGGACAAAGACUGACGCUCAGGUGCGAAAGCGUGGGGAGCAAACAGGAUUAGAUACCCCCGUAGUC